AUUGAACGCUGGCGGCAUGCCUUACACAUGCAAGUCGAACGGCAGCACGGGAGCAAUCCUGGUGGCGAGUGGCGAACGGGUGAGUAAUAUAUCGGAACGUGCCCAGUCGUGGGGGAUAACGUAGCGAAAGCUACGCUAAUACCGCAUACGAUCUAUGGAUGAAAGCGGGGGAUCGCAAGACCUCGCGCGAUUGGAGCGGCCGAUAUCAGAUUAGGUAGUUGGUGAGGUAAAGGCUCACCAAGCCGACGAUCUGUAGCUGGUCUGAGAGGACGACCAGCCACACUGGGACUGAGACACGGCCCAGACUCCUACGGGAGGCAGCAGUGGGAAUUUUGGACAAUGGGCGCAAGCCUGAUCCAGCAAUGCCGCGUGCAGGAUGAAGGCCUU
rnacentral:rRNA from 1 species